CCCCUGGAGGACUAGUGGUUAGGCCACUGCGCUCUCACCGCUGCGCCCUAGGUUCGAUUCCCAGCCAGGGAA
rnacentral:tRNA from 1 species